GCCACAUGUUCACACUGACUUAUCUAAAAUCCAUGCACUUUAACGCUUUGGCCGGCUCUCCUGAGGAUCACACAUGCUUCAUUCAUAGGCUGAAUGCUCCAUAUGUGUCUUACGGGAGUUCAAUGUUAUCAUGAAUUCCAGUGCCACCAGCAAGAGCACAAAGACUCGGGUCCAUAUCAUCACCACUCUCAGGAGGCUGAGGAGUUCUGCAGAGACUUCACUCAGGCAAGAAGCAACUUAAAGGAGAAGGAUUUAUUUGAUUCACAGUUUAAAUGGCAACAACUCAUCACGGAUGAGAAGGCAUGGUGGCAAUGGGCUCUACAGUGGCAGACUGCAGUCAAUGUUCUUCAUGUCUUCAUAUUUUGAUAAAAUAGAUAUCAGAGAAUAGACAGAAAACUGGCUGAGCUGUUAAGCUUCAAGACCUACCCAUCAUGACCUACUUCCUCUAGUAUGGCUCCACCCACUUCCUGUGGGCCCCACAAUCUUACAAAACAGCACCACCAAUUGAGGACUUAAACCACAUCUGUCUCCUUAUAUAUGUAUUGGUUCUGACUGCAUUUGUUUUCUAACAUUGUUCACAAUUCCAAAUGUAACCUUGCAAAAAGGAAACUUACCAUUGUAUUCACUUGUUUUAGCAAAAAUUCUAAAUAUUAUCAAAGACAAGGGAGUACCUUAGAAGUGCCUUUCACAAGACUUAAGAGAAGGUUGAAGUAAUAUCCAUCCAUCUUAGAGUGAGCCUCACUCCCAGGAUUUCCCUUUCUACC